UAUUGUUUUUUUAGAUAGGAAUGAUUGAACUUUUGAAACAAUGUAAAAUGUGAGUGUUACACACUUGCAGGGCUUUCCUAUAAAUUUUCUUCAGAAAAACAAAAAUGCAUGGGUUCAAGGACUUGACUGGUACAAAUAUUUAGUGGACUGUGUUCAACUAAAUCACAUUGGAAUCAUGAGUGAGCAUCUCGAGGGUCCAAAUAAUGUGACUUCAACGACAUUUUGUGGCUUGGAGUGAAGUUUCAAAGAACAAUUGUAAUCGGCAAGUACAUUUCUGCUAUGCAUUUGAACGGAGGUAUCUUCCUUCUUCUAGUGUGGAGGAUCUUGAGUUACUCUCAAGAGGAGGUAGGACAUCAGCAAAAACCGCGAUGACUGAGUCCAAAUCUGCCACGUUCACGGCAAGGCAUUGAUUCGAUGCCAGUAAGGGAUCAACAGGCGAAGAGUAGGGCAUCACUUUCCCAAUCCAGGAUUGUGGGGCCUCAUUGGAUUUCAUUACUUUGAUAUGGCCUUCUAGAGAAGGGGAAUUUGGAUUCGAGUCACUAGCGUAAUUCCUCUUGUCCAAUCAGAAGAAUGGCAAAAUUUGAACCCUUUAAGCCAUGGUUUCCCUGAAAAAACACUGAGUUCUCCUGCAAGAAACUUACUUUACGUAUAUGAUCCUCAAUUGGAAGUACGCUAUCCCACGCAGUAUGGCAUCCAGAAACCGGACAAGCAUAGGGUGGAGGGCUUUCUGCAUGUCCAACUGAUAUGAAACUUGAGGAUGAACUUUCUUCUGUUGAAGGUGUCUAUAAAGUGUAAAAAUAAUAAAUUUUUGAUCUCUACAUGAUGAGUGGUAUGAAUUUUGUAUUCAAAUUGCAUAUUAUAAAAGGUUUCUGUUACCGAA